rnacentral:rRNA from 1 species
GUAGUAACGGCGAGUGAAGAGGGAAAAGCCAAAUUUGUAAUCUGGCCUUCAGUCCGAGUUGUAACUCGAGAACUGUUUUCCGUGCUGGACCGCGUACAAGUCUGUUGGAAUAUAGCUUCAUAGAGGGUGAGAAUCCCGUACAUGACGCGGACUACCAGUACAAUGUGAUACAGUCUCUAAGAGUCGAGUUGUUUGGGAAUGCAGCUCAAAAUGGGUGGUAAAUUCCAUCUAAGGCUAAAUAUUGGCGAGAGACCGAUAGCGAACAAGUACCGUGAGGGAAAGAUGAAAAGCACUUUGGAAAGAGAGUUAACAGUACGUGAAAUUGUUGAAAGGGAAACGCUUGAAGUCAGUCUUGUACUUUGUUGUUCAGCCCUCGGGUGUAUUCAACUUUGAACAGGCCAGCAUCAGUUUCAGAUGUCGGAUAAGGGUAGAGGAAACGUAGCAGUCUCGGCUGUGUUAUAGUCCUUUACUUGAUACGACGUUCGGGACUGAGGAACGCAGUGACGCUUUUGGCGGGUCUUCGGAUCUUCUCACUAUGGAUGCUGGCG